UUUGAGCUGGGACAUCAGUCUUCUGCCUUUGGACUUGGACUCAGACGGAUUUAUACCAUUGGCUCUUCUAGUUCUCAGGCCUUUGCACUCAGACUGGAACUACACCAUUGGCUCUUCUAGGUCUUUAUCUUGCUGGCUACAGAUCUUGGACCUCCCAGCCUCCACACUUUUGUUUGGGACAGAAAUUCUGGAGCAGCGUGGCUGGGUGGUUCUGGCUCAGGGUCUCUCAUUAGCUUGCCUCCAAUGUCAGCCAGGGCUGCAGUCAUCUGAAGCCUUGACUGGGGCUGAGAGAGGAGGAUCUACUCUCAAGGUGGAUCACUCACUGGCAGUGAAGACACAACAGUAAGACAGCCAUCUGCAAGCCAGGAAGAGAGCCCUCACAAGGAAUCAAAUCAGCCAGAACCUUGAUCUUGGACUUCCCAGCCUCCAGA
rnacentral:lncRNA from 1 species